rnacentral:piRNA from 1 species
UCGAACCCAGAGAUCUGUCUGCCUCUGU